CUCAUCUUGGGCAUCAUGUAGAAUUGGGAUGAAAAUUGAAAGUUUUCUCAAGUCUUAUUUUCGAAUUUUACUGCAUCAAGUACUAGGUCAUGGAUUAAUAGAAGCUGCUCAACCUGAUUCAAAUGAGCCUUCACAACCCAUUGCUGCCACUGCACAUGUUGAUAUAUGAGUUCAUGAGUAAUGGGAGCUUGGCAAACCUUCUAUAUUAGUUAUUUGUGGAUGAGUCUAGCAGCAGCAGGAGCAGAGAAGAACCAUUCAAUUGCUUCACUGCUGCUGCUUUGUUUUUUGGGGUCAGGGCAAUUAAGAAGCAGAAAGCUAGUUAGGAAACUAUGCAAUAUUGUCUCAAGAACUAUGAUAUGUACUAAAUAUUUGAGUAGCUGAGGUUGCAGGAGAGGACGCAUAUAAACAUUUGUCAAUGUUUGUAUUUUGUUGCGUGUCUUGUUCAUUGUUUAGUGCUAUGGGAUGUUUGGAUAUUUUGUUUUUUUUUUUUUUUUUUAUCGUUUAGUGCUGUGGGAUGUUUGGAACCGUGUGCUUCUAGUGCCAUGGGAUGAGAAUAGGUAGAUCUUUUAGAUAAGAAUCUUUAUGACU